UGCAACUAAGGUAUAAGAGGUCCUGCCUGCCCAGUGACACUAAGUUUAACGGCCGCGGUAUUAUGACCGUGCAAAGGUAGCGUAAUCACUUGUCUUUUAAAUAAAGACCAGUAUGAAUGGCAAGACGAAAGUUCAACUGUCUCCCUAAAUUAAUCAAUGAAAUUGAUCUUUCCGUGCAGAAGCGGAAAUAUAACUAUAAGACGAGAAGACCCUAUGGAGCUUUAAACACAUAAUCAAUUGUAAAACAUAAAACCCGAAAGAUUAAAUAUAAAAUAAAACAAUCUGAUUAAAAUUUUAGGUUGGGGCGACCACGGAGAAAAACAAAACCUCCGAGAUGAAGAGAAUAUCUUAAUUAAAGAACUACAGUUCUAAAAAAUAAAAUAUUUAACAUAAUUGAUCCAAUAUAUUGAUCAACGAACCAAGUUACCCUAGGGAUAACAGCGCAAUCCUCUCCAAGAGUCCCUAUCGACGAGCGGGU
rnacentral:rRNA from 1 species